AUUUGAAAGGUACAAGCUAUGAAGUCUGAGAAACUCUCCCUGCCCCCAGGAGCCUGAGGAGCCAUGGAGAUCAUGACCCGGAGAAUCAUGGCUGAAAUCCUGGAGCAUGGAGAUCCUGGGGGAAACAGAAAAAGAACGAAAGCAAAAAUGCAUUGAGUACUUUGGGAAAUGAUUUGGUGGCAAUAUUGCUGAAGUGAACUUAGGGCCUCGAGCCCUCUUUGAAGUUUUGUGGCAUCUACACCUAUUCUCAA